CUAACCUUAAUUAAAUAUGUCUGAAGACAUUCUUACCUACCUAUAUUAUUUCUAUUCCAUAUACAUCUAGAAAACAUUGUAAUUGUUUUAGGUAAUUGUGUGAAAGGUCAGAAAAUUUUAUAACAGCUUUAAUAAGGCCAUUGUUUUAUUGUGGACUGUAGGAUGAUAGUUUGGGGACUUCCAAACAUAUCUCUGGAGAAAGAUCCAGGAACGUGCAUUCACACAGGCAUACUUAGAUAAUGCUGAUGUUAUCAGAAUUAAAUUUCUCUUUGCGUCAAAAUCCCCUGGGAUCUUUUAAAAAAAUGUAGAUGCUUACCCCAUCCUCCACCCCCCCAAACCUCAUCCAAGUAUUCUCUUUCAGUGAUGGGGUUCAGGUGAUGCUAUCUACGCUAACUCUAUAAGCACAUUAAUGUACAGCCAUGGCAGAUCACCAAUGCUCCAAGGCUUCCCAAGCUUGAAUGUGCAAAUCAUCCGGAUACCCUGAGAUAAUACAGAUUCUGAUUCAGUAAGUCCGGGGUAGGACCUAAGAUCCUGCAUUCUUAACAGGCUUUCGGGUGGUGUCCAGGCUACUGCUUCACAUACUACACACUGAGUAGCAAUGACCUGUACAUUUUUAAUGGUAAAUCAACCUUGACACAGCCAGAUAUGUCACAGAUGAAGUAGAUAAGAAACUGGCACUAGUAACUAUCCAAUGUGUUAGGGCAGGCGUUAAGACCACAGAUCCUGUUAGACAUUUUAGGAAAAGUCCAGUCUACCAGCCAAAGAUGAUAUUGAAGUUUAUGACUUAUUUCUGAAUUAUGAUGUAGUAAUAUACUACAUCGAGAAAAAGCAAAUGCACUGUAGUGAAAGGGGACAACAUUAAUUUUGUAGCUAUUAAGUCUGCAGUAGUAGGAAAUACAUAAUAUUUGAAUUUAUUUUAUAAGGCACAUACAAUGGAACUUGAGCAAUUUAAUAGUUUCUUUUUGGAACACUUUUUUUUUUUUUUUAAACAGGAAAGUCCAUUUUGAUGUUAUGCAUUUAAAAGACAAACUAGGUAUUAGAGAAGUUAACAUUUAGCUUUUGGAAAACAUUGACUUGGUAGCAGGGAGUCUGUUCUCCUUGCUGUUACCCUGAACAUUUCAAUUUCAGAAAGUUGCAUGACUUUCGAAUCUCCUCCAUGUAAGACAUUCUACUUGACAUAAGGAUUUAUUUCUGGCUUUCCAUCAGUUUCUAAUUAAUAGCACCACUGUGUGUUACAUGAUGUGAGAAUUGAAAAUCUCUAAACAGUACCACAGGAACACCACAUUGCACUUCUACUUGAAAAAACACCUGAUCAGUUACCCAGCUGUUUCCUCCAGAUGUUGUCUGUAAACUCAAAGGUCAUAGUUUCACUAAAACUAAGAUUAAUUUGACUUUAUCUUGCCGUUAAAAAAAACACAGCUAUUAAAAUCAAGUUUUAAAUAGCCACAAGUAUACACAAUCAAAACAUGCAGAACUUACAAAAUAUAUAUAUUUUAAAGAAUUUCUGUCCACUUUUACAAAUCUAAGUGCAAAAAAUAGUUUGUAUGAUUUAUAAAUAAAGCAUAGAGUGAUAGAAUUUUACUGUUUUUAAGAAAAAAGCAUUAUCUUCCCUCUGAAUGAACUCUCAUGAAGUAAAAAAGCAUAUCAUUAUUUGUGCAGAAUAAUGACAGAAUUUAGUUUAAGAGGAAAAACUCAGCAAAUGGUGAAUGCUUUUGAGAUGGGAAAUAAAAUAUAAUAUCAGUAGAUUCCCUUUCUAGUCCUUAUUUGCAAAACACAAUUGACUCAAUGUAAAAGAUUGUGUGUGUGUGUGUGUUUUACUUUACAGACUUUUUGCUUAACAACAUGAUUCUACUGCAUUGCAUAUGAUCCUAUAAUAACAGGAUAUUAUUAGAGUCUUAGGCAUUAAAAUUUGUCCUUCAUAAAUGGUGUUAUGGCAUUUAAUUAUAAGUAUACUAUUUUAUAAUAAAAUCAUAAUGCAAAUGUAAAUCCCGCACUAACUCUGCAUUUGAUUAACCAAAUAUCUCUGUAAUUCUAUAAUUUUUAUGUCUUAUAUAGAUUCAAAAUUGUAAAAUGAGAUUUAAACUUGGAUUAUUCUAUUGAUGGGAAUGUAAUUUAUCUUCAUUAAUUGUAUGUUUCAUCUAUUACUCACCAGAAUAAAAUAAAAGUCUUAUGGAAAACUAUAGCAAUAGUAUUUAUUAAAUGAGUAUUUACCAAGUCUGAUUGUGAAUAUGGCCUUGGGUAUGUACUCUUCCCUAAACUAUGGUUCUCUAUGUAAUACUAAGAGCAUGACAUGUAUGCAUCAAUAUUUAUUUCUAAGAUCCAUGUCCCCUAUGACCAAGCAUAAUUUGGUUUAUAAAUAAAUAUUCCUUUCUUGUUUUCAAAAAUUAUUGUGCAUUAAAUUAGUAGUCCUUCCUUUAAAAGGAAAAAAAAACCUUUGAACUAU
rnacentral:lncRNA from 1 species